rnacentral:rRNA from 5 species
CUGACCUCAAAUCAGGUAGGACUACCC